GCUUACACAUGCAGUCGAACGAGACCUUCGGGUCUAGUGGCGCACGGGUGCGUAACGUGUGGGAAUCUGCCCUUAGGUACGGAAUAACUCAGAGAAAUUUGUGCUAAUACCGUAUGAUGUCGAAAGACCAAAGAUUUAUCGCCUAAGGAUGAGCCCGCGUAAGAUUAGCUUGUUGGUGAGGUAAAAGCUCACCAAGGCGACGAUCUUUAGCUGGUCUGAGAGGAUGAUCAGCCACACUGGGACUGAGACACGGCCCAGACUCCUACGGGAGGCAGCAGUGGGGAAUAUUGGACAAUGGGCGAAAGCCUGAUCCAGCAAUGCCGCGUGAGUGAUGAAGGCCUUAGGGUUGUAAAGCUCUUUUACCAGGGAUGAUAAUGACAGUACCUGGAGAAUAAGCUCCGGCUAACUCCGUGCCAGCAGCCGCGGUAAUACGGAGGGAGCUAGCGUUGUUCGGAAUUACUGGGCGUAAAGAGUACGUAGGCGGUUAUUCAAGUCAGAGGUGAAAGCCUGGAGCUCAACUCCAGAACUGCCUUUGAAACUAGAUAGCUAGAAUCUUGGAGAAGUGAGUGGAAUUCCGAGUGUAGAGGUGAAAUUCGUAGAUAUUCGGAAGAACACCAGUGGCGAAGGCGACUCACUGGACAAGUAUUGACGCUGAGGUACGAAAGCGUGGGGAGCAAACAGGAUUAGAUACCCUCGUAGUCCAUACCAUAAACGAUGAUUGCUAGAUGUUGGAAAUUUAUUUUCAGUAUCGCAGCUAACGCAUUAAGCAAUCCGCCUGGGGAGUACGACCGCAAGGUUAAAACUCAAAUGAAUUGACGGGGACCCGCACAAGCGGUGGAGCAUGUGGUUUAAUUCGAAGAUACGCGCAGAACCUUACCAACCCUUGACAUGUCUGUCGCGAGUUUAGGAAACUAGACUUUUCGGUUCGGCCGGACAGAACACAGGUGCUGCAUGGCUGU
rnacentral:rRNA from 1 species